GGAGAAGCAAAGUGAUGAGCAUUACUGGCUGGAGCUCCAAAGAGGCGCGUGUGUGUGUGUGUGUGUGUGUCCUUGUCUGUGCAUGCACAUGUGUGUGUGGGAGUACGAAUGUGUGCGACUGGUUGUAGGGAACUAGUUAUGUGCCUGCUUUUGGACCAUGACAGUCAAACUGAUAAGAUCUGAUUGCUUC
rnacentral:snoRNA from 1 species